UCUCCCCUGUCAGAGAACAAGAGCCAAGCCCCAGAGACAGCGCCUCAGAGAAGAUUCGGAAUCAUUACAAAUUGUACCAAGACUCAGACGUCAGGAUGCAGAAUAUGCUGGAAUGUGCAUUCAUAGUUUUGUGGCUUCAGCUUGGCUGGGUGACUGGAGAAGACCGGGUGGAGCAGAGUCCUCAGACCUUGAGACUUCAGGAGGGAGACAGUGUCAGCCUCAACUGCAGUUACACGGUCAGCGCCUUUAACGGGCUACAGUGGUAUAGGCAGGAUCCCGGGCAAGGCCCAGAAUUCCUCUUUGUCCUAUAUGCAGUUGGUGAUGAGAAACAGAAAGAAAGACUAAGAGCCACACUAUUAAAGGAGGGAAGUUCUCUGCACAUCGAAGCUUCUAAACCUGAAGACUCAGCCACUUACUUCUGUGCUGUGAAGACACAGUACUCCCAGGCAGCCUGGGAGCUGUACCAAAACCCUGCAGUUGCACUCUGGAAUAAGGGCAUCUCUGCUAUUCCUCUUCCUCAAGGAAGUACUUAGCAUUCAGAGCCUCUUUCCAAGUGGUCCUGUGGAGAAAGAAGUCUUGUGACACAGCUUAGAUGGCACGGAUUACUGUUCCUUCUGUUCUGGUCUUUAGGAUAGUUCCUUUGUGUGUUCUGUAUCAGUCUGCUCUUUGAAACAGCUCAGGGCUUUCCUCACCUGGAUACAGAAGGGAUAGCUGUGCAAUGGACAGCCUUGGUUUCUUGCUUUGGGUCACUUGAAAAGAGACUGACCAGAAAUACACACUCUUGCCAGAAGUUUUUUUUUUUUUCUUUUUUCUUUUUUUUUAAGUGCUUUAUAUUCUCUUACAAUAAUCUGGUCACAUCUUUAUUAAAUGAAUCUUUCCCAUUUUAAUACAGUCUUCUCGAAGCCCACAUCUUCACCAGCCAUAUUUCUACACUUCUCUUCUCCUUAAUCACCAAAUUAAUGGAAAGAAUUUUCCGUACUCACUGUGUCCAUUUCCUCAACCCCCAUUCUUCACCCCUGCCAGAAUCUGGCCUCUGUUAGUAUCAGUCCAACAAAAUCUUUAGCCUUCACUCCCAUGACUUUGGUGUUGUUGAAACCGAUGGAUUGAUGUUUUAUCCAGUCCUCAUUCUGUCUGAAAUUCACAGCAGUCUCUCUUCCUUUCUUUUUAAAACUAAAUAUUCUUUCUUUUCUUUUCUUUUCUUUUUUUUUUUAACCACAAUCAUACUUCAUAUAUUUACAAAAUCAAAUAGCACCCUUUUUUGGUCCCCAUUCCUCCACAUACUUCAGUCCUCCCUCCCUGGUGGAAAUGCUUUUAAUUCUCAGGUGGUGGCAGUGAUAUUCAUUUCAAUAUUUUUAAAUGCUGUUUCUUUGGGGCACCUGGGUGGUUCAGUCAGUUAAGCA